GAGAGGCACACCAACACCAGCAGAUGAGUCUCUGUUUAAUACUUGGGAUAUUAUAACAGUAAGGUAAUUCUAGUUUGGGUACAUUUUUGGCAGAUUUGAUCUCUCCCUUAAAUUGGAGAUAUAACUGUAGGGCAUAGCAUAUAUUUGUUAUGCUACAUUAAAAGAGUACUAGUGGUUUUGUGUUGAAGUGUUUAAUGUAUAUUGUCAGUCAGUAAGUCAGAGCACUUUGUUCCAGUUAUAGCUCCAGAAGUCAGUCACCAGCAGCAGAUGUCACACAGUUAUAAAAUGGGAAACUGGAAGAAUAAGCCCCAGAAGUCAGCAGCAGCAGCAGCAGACGUCACACAGCCAUAAUGCGAGAAGCUUGAAGAAUAAUGUGUUAUGGCUCCGAUAGUCUUCCAGCAGCAGCAAAUGUUACACAGUCCUAUAGAGGCAAACUUGAAGUAUGAGGUAAUAGUGUUUUGCAUAGAAUGGCAAGCUUGACCUUUC